CGAGGGCCACCAGGGUCUGAGCU
rnacentral:miRNA from 1 species